rnacentral:sRNA from 1 species
UCGUGCGCGGUAAGAAGCUGCGCUGUAUCGCGGUGAGGUGUGUUUCCAUUGUAGAAAACCUGGUCAUGGAAUUGCAGAUUGCCCCGCCGCCCUUGAAAAUCAAGACAUGGGCACUGGGAUAUGUUACAGGUGUGGGUCCACAGAGCACGAAAUAACCAAGUGUAAGGCUAAAGUAGACCCGGCUCUUGGCGAAUUUCCUUUUGCAAAAUGUUUUGUUUGUGGAGAAAUGGGGCACCUGUCUAGAUCUUGUCCUGAUAAUCCCAAAGGACUCUAUGCUGAUGGUAAGUACUGUUACCCUCAUAUAGUAGAAAUGGUGAGUCAUCGUGCAGUUGUGAUUUAAUUUACACUCAAUCACAGUUCUUGAAUAAAUUCUUGAAUAAAUUGCAAAACCUUGAGAAUUA